rnacentral:rRNA from 1 species
GAUGAACGCUAGCGGGAGGCUUAACACAUGCAAGUCGAGGGGUAUAGUAGCAAUACUAGAGACCGGCGGACGGGUGCGUAACGCGUAUGCAACUUGCCUUAUACAGGGGGAUAGCCCGUGGAAACGCGGAUUAACACCCCAUGGGACAUACAGAUCGCAUGGUUAGUAUGUUAAAUUCGAGGAGGUAUAAGAUAGGCAUGCGUCUGAUUAGCUUGUUGGUAAGGUAAUGGCUUACCAAGGCGACGAUCAGUAGGGGUUCUGAGAGGAUAAUCCCCCACACUGGUACUGAGACACGGACCAGACUCCUACGGGAGGCAG